AAUAUAAGUGUAUAGGUUAAUUGUGCAAGUCGUCAAAGAAACCGUAGGAUAAAAUAACAAGCCGAUAAGAAAUUCUAUAUUGUUAAUUCUGCUAAUACACAUUUCAACAAAACGAGAGCUUUGCGCAUAAUUAAGGAGGGCGGGUGGUAAAACGGAAAAAAUAGUUUACAAGAAGCAAUCCGUAAAAAAUGACCAAUCAUGUAUCUUGGUUGAUCGUUCUUGAAGCUUGUCUUAUCAAUAAAGUGCAAUAGAAGAUGAAGAAGAGUGUAUUUCAUGUAUUCCAAUGUAAGGAACGUGCGUGUAAUUUUAUUCUGUGCGUGCGCAAUGAUUCUUUUUAGUCAAAAAGAAGCGAGAACCGAGAACACGUUCCAAAUCGUAGAGCAGCCUGAUACAAUGUCACUGACACAGCUGAAUGCGAGAUAUGCGUAAAUUUAUUGAGGAAAACCGUUGGGGAAAUUUCGAUGAACUAUAAAUAGAAAACAAUAAAAGUGCUGACAAGCCUGGAAGGAUGGGAAAUCCUGAUGUGCCAUAUGUUAACUAGUGGGUGAUAUGCCAAGUAACUAGUCACUAGUCACUAGUCACUAGUCACUAGUCACUAGUCACUAGUCACUAGUCAUUAGUCACUAGUCACUGGUCACUAGUCACUAGUCAAGAACCAAUAAUCAAUAGUCACUAGUUAAUAGUUACUAGUCAAUAGUCAAUAGUCAAUAGUUAAUAGUUGUAAUUGGAGUUACAACUGAGUUGCGACUCACAAAAACCCACUAUCGCUAUUUUUUAUUAGAUAUAAAAUAAAAAAAAAAAAAAAAAUACAA
rnacentral:lncRNA from 11 species